GGACGUGUUUCAUCAUUAUCAAGUAGGUACAAUACCCGCAAGGCUUAAGAGGUGAGGGUGAUAAAAAAAAUUGUAUAAAAAGGAGAGAGAAAAGGCCAGAGACAUCAGUAGAGUGAGCAUCAUCGACACGACAACAACUGCAGUGCACUACCUGUACCAACUACCUUCUUCAUCGCAAUACCAGUUCGCAACAAUGGUUCGCAGUUAUGGUCAACUAUAAUGUCGUGCUGCUGUCGGAUGUUGUAUCGUUGGUGGCUGGGUCGACCAAUAGUGUACCAAUGUCCUUUGGGCACGGGUACCAAACCGCAAUGCCGACGCCUUACUACACAACAACAACAUACGCUUCAGCCGGUUAUCACGCCAUCAAGUCUCCAGUGAAUUACACCACACCUUAUGAUGCCCCGAGCUACUACACCGACGCCCUGAAUUAUAGAUAUCCUUCAGUUGCUGCAAGCAACCUAUUCCAAUCCCCAGCAACGUUAACCUGCAGAAGGAAAAGGCAGUUUGCAUGGCUUUCACAUUCGGAGGUAACGGAGAUCAUUACGUAAAACGUGUCAUGUAGUGGUGAAGGGUUGGGUAAGAACGGGGCGUGUUUCAUAAUUAUCAAGGAGGUACAACAGCCGCGAGGCUUAAGAGAUGAGUUAGAGUGAGAAAAAGUGGUAUAAAAGGAGAGAAAUAAGGUGAUAGAGAUCAGUUGAGUGAGCAACUUCGACCCGAUAAUAAUUGAACUCUUCCAAUUCUCAAUGAUAGUUAACUGGCUUCGUGAUGCUGUUGAAUGUUGUAUCGUUUCUGGCUGAGUCGACCACUGGUCCCUGGGUAUGGCGGAUACCAAGCCGCAACGCUGCUGUCUUACUACACAGCAACAUACGUAACUACCUGUCGGAACUUCCAAGUACUACACCGAAAAGGCUGAAUGUUACACAAGGACGUAUGCUACCCCAGUUUACUACACCGAGGAACCUAAGCAUUACUCUGCUCCGAGCUACAACAGAGGCUCCUGUUUACUACACCACCAACGCAUCUGAAUGUUACAUGAUAAUCUACGCUGCCCCCAACUACUACACUGGAGCUUCGAAGUGCAACACCACCGAUGCACAAACAAUUUGCAAGCAAGGAGUUAUUUGGUGACCUGAUGCUGUUGAAUCUUGUAUCUUUGAUGCAUAUGACCGUUGUAGUGAUGUUUCCUGGGUAUGGCGGAUAUCAAAUCGCAACGCUACCGUCUUAUUACUCAACAACUUACUCAACGACCUGUUACUACACCGGGACUUCCACUUACUACACUGAAAAGGCUGAAUAUUACACAAGGACGUAUGCUACCUCAGUUUACUACACCGAGGAACCUAAGCAUUACUCUGCUCCGAGCUACAACAGAGGCUUCUGUUUACUACACCACCAACGCAUCUGAAUGUUACAUGAUAAUCUACGCUGCCCCCAACUACUACACUGGAGCUUCGAAGUGCAACACCAUAAAUGUACAACCAAUUUGCAAGCAAGGAGUUAUUUGGUGACGUGUUGCUGUUGAAUCAUAUGACCGUUGUAGUGAUAUUUCUUGGGUAUGGUGGAUAUUAUAUCGCAACGCUACUGUCUUACCACGCAACGCUUCUGUCUUACCACGCAACGCUACUGUCUUACUAUGCCAAAACUUACUCAACGACCUGUUACUACACCGGGAUUUCCAAAUACUACACCGAAAAGGUUGAAUAUUUCACAUGGACAAGGACAAGGCGUCUAUCCCAGUUUACUACACCGAGAAACCUAAACAUUACUGUGCUUCGAACUACAACAUAGGCUCCUGUUUACUAUGCGACCAUCGCUCCCGAGUGUUGUACGCUCCCCCCAACCGCUACACUGAAGCUCCGAAGUACUACACCAUUGAAGGAAAACUAAUUCGCAUUCAAGGAUUAUUAUGCUGUUGAGCUGUUGUUGGAUGUUGUAUCGUUGAUGGCUGGGUCGACCACGAGUGUACCGAUGUCUCCUGGGUAUGGUGGUAUUUCAGUACUAGCAGCUAUAGAAUGGUACACCACGUUGCUGCCUUACUACUUAACAACAUCAACAUACGCAACACCUACUUACUACACUGAUGCUCGUAAAUACCACAUCUCCAAGGCUCCAAGAAUGUACUGUACACGAAUAUCUACGCUGCUCCGAGCUACUGCACGGAAGUAUCACUCUACCCCAAGUUACAUCAACAAAACGUCUGAGUAGUGAGUACUACACUAAGGAUCUCAAAUACUACACCACCAAAGCUACAAAGCACUGCACCGAGGCUGUAGCUUGUUAAACCACCAAAGCGGUCGAGUACCGAGGGGUUUAAGUACUACCCCUUAACCUACUGCAGAGCAGUAUUUGUCAACAACUGCCAUAAUCGUAUGAAAUGUUCGCAAUCAUGGUAUACUGUGAUGUUGUGCUGCUGUUGAGGAUGGAUUCAUCGUUGAAAGCUGGGUUGAUCAUUGGUCUACUGAGGCCCCUGGAUAUGACGGUGCAUCACCAAAGUGCAUCACCAAAGAGCCAGCAAAUUACAUCGAGGUUUUUAAGUACUACACUACUAAGUACACCACUAAGGCGCCGGUACCAGAAUACUACACUACGCAUACUACCCCUGCCUACUACACCGGGGUCCUUAAUUACUACAACACCCGGCAACAAUUGAACUCUUCAAAUUCUCAA